AGGGUUUGAUCAUGGCUCAGGACGAACGCUGGCGGCGUGCUUAACACAUGCAAGUCAAGGAGAACGGAUCCUUCGGGAUACUAUUAAACUGGCGAACGGGUGAGUAACGCGUAGGCAACCUGCCUUGGAGAUUGGGAUAACCCCGGGAAACCGGAGCUAAUACCAAAUAAUGCAGCGGAUCCUUCGGGAUAUGUUGUUAAAGUGGGCUUCGGCUCACACUUCAAGAUGGGCCUGCGUCCGAUUAGCUUGUUGGUGAGGUAAUGGCUCACCAAGGCGAUGAUCGGUAGCUGGUCUGAGAGGAUGAUCAGCCACACUGGGAUUGAGAUACGGCCCAGACUCCUACGGGAGGCAGCAGUGGGGAAUUUUGCGCAAUGGACGAAAGUCUGACGCAGCAACGCCGCGUGAUCGAUGAAGCUUCUAGGAGUGUAAAGAUCUGUCGUGAGGGAAGAAAAAUCUGGAUGUAAAUAAUGUUCAGACGUGACGGUACCUCACAAGAAAGGCACCGGCUAACUUCGUGCCAGCAGCCGCGGUAAUACGAGGGGUGCUAGCGUUGUCCGGAAUUACUGGGCGUAAAGGGUUCGUAGGCGUCUUGCCAAGUUGAUCGUUAAAGCCACCGGCUUAACCGGUGAUCUGCGAUCAAAACUGGCGAGAUAGAAUAUGUGAGGGGAAUGUGGAAUUCCUGGUGUAGCGGUGACAUGCGUAGAUAUCAG
rnacentral:rRNA from 1 species